rnacentral:rRNA from 1 species
UAGUCCACGCCGUAAACGAUGGUUACUAGCUGUUGGGCCGAUUGGGGCUCAGUGGCCAAGCGAAAGUGAUAAGUAACCCACCUGGGGAGUACGUUCGCAAGAAUGAAACUCAAAGGAAUUGACGGGGGCCCGCACAAGCGGUGGAGCAUGUGGUUUAAUUCGAUGAUACGCGAGGAACCUUACCAGGGCUUAAAUGCAGUUGGACAGGGGUGGAAACACCCCCUUCUUCGGACUGAUUGCAAGGUGCUGCAUGGUUGUCGUCAGCUCGUGCCGUGAGGUGUCAGGUUAAGUCCUAUAACGAGCGCAACCCCUGUGGUUAGUUGCCAGCGAGUAAUGUCGGGAACUCUAGCCAGACUGCCGGUGCAAACCGUGAGGAAGGUGGGGAUGACGUCAAAUCAUCACGGCCCUUACGUCCUGGGCUACACACGUGCUACAAUGGACGGUACAGCGAGUAGCGAACCUGCAAAGGUCAGCCAAUCUCUAAAAGCCGUUCUCAGUUCGGAUCGGAGUCUGCAACUCG